rnacentral:rRNA from 1 species
GGGCCCGCACAAGCGGUGGAGCAUGUGGUUUAAUUCGAUGAUACGCGAGGAACCUUACCUAGGCUUAAAUGUAGAUUGACUUAUUGGGAAACCAGUAUUUCUUCGGACAAUCUACAAGGUGCUGCAUGGUUGUCGUCAGCUCGUGCCGUGAGGUGUCGGGUUAAGUCCCAUAACGAGCGCAACCCCUAUCAUUAGUUGCUAACAUUUAGUUGAGGACUCUAAUGAAACUGCCCGCGUAAGCGGUGAGGAAGGUGGGGAUGACGUCAAAUCAUCACGGCCCUUACGUCUAGGGCUACACACGUGCUACAAUGGUAACUACAGAGGGAAGCUAGCUGGUGACAGUAAGCAAAUCCUUAAAAGUUAUCCCAGUUCGGAUUGAAGUCUGCAACUCGACUUCAUGAAGUUGGAAUCGCUAGUAAUCGCAGGUC